rfam:Stegodyphus mimosarum contig91043, whole genome shotgun sequence.
GCCUUCGUGGUGUAGUGGUCAGCACGCUGGGUGCGUAUUCCAGAGGUCCGUGGUUCGAGUCCCGACGAAGGCU